rnacentral:rRNA from 1 species
AUACGGAGGAUGCGAGCGUUAUCCGGAUUUAUUGGGUUUAAAGGGUGCGUAGGCGGAUCAAUAAGUCAGUGGUGAAAUUCUGCAGCUUAACUGUAGACUUGCCAUUGAUACUGUUUUUCUUGAGUAUGGUCAAGGCAGGCGGAAUGUGUAAUGUAGCGGUAAAAUGCUUAGAUAUUACACAGAACACCGAUAGCGAAGGCAGCUUGCUGGGCCGUUACUGACGCUGAUGCACGAAAGCGUGGGGAUC